GACGAACGCUGGCGGCGUGCUUAACACAUGCAAGUCGAGCGGAAAGGCCUCUUUCGGGGGGUACUCGAGUGGCGAACGGGUGAGUAACACGUGAGUAACCUGCCCUUGACUUUGGGAUAACUUCAGGAAACUGGGGCUAAUACCGGAUAGGAGCUCCUGCUGCAUGGUGGGGGUUGGAAAGUUUCGGCGGUUGGGGAUGGACUCGCGGCUUAUCAGCUUGUUGGUGGGGUAGUGGCUUACCAAGGCUUUGACGGGUAGCCGGCCUGAGAGGGUGACCGGCCACAUUGGGACUGAGAUACGGCCCAGACUCCUACGGGAGGCAGCAGUGGGGAAUAUUGCACAAUGGGUGGAAGCCUGAUGCAGCAACGCCGUGUGCGGGAUGACGGCCUUCGGGUUGUAAACCGCUUUCGCUCAUGACGAAGCUUUGUGUGAUGGUAGUGGGUAAAGAAGCACCGGCUAACUACGUG
rnacentral:rRNA from 1 species